GAGGGUAUAGCUGAGUCGUAGCGUGCAUGCUUAGCAUGCAUGAAGUCCUGGGUUCAGUACCCAGUACCUCUG
rnacentral:tRNA from 1 species